CUGAAUGAGACCCUUUGCUAGAGCUGGCACAGGGAGGAAGGUCGUCCUGGAGGGAGGGUAGACACUGUGGAGGGAAGGGAGACCUGUGUCAGGAGAGCUGAGACCACCUCUCUGCCCCUCACUACUCUUGUAAUCUUUAGGAGUGUAAAUAAUCCCCCUAAGGUGGGGACAGGACCCCAGUCCCUGCUGUGCGCAAUAGAUUAUGAUGAUCAAAAUAAAUAAUCAGUGAAUGUGGAUGGGAAA
ensembl:lncRNA novel transcript